UACGUAGGUGGCAAGCGUUGUCCGGAUUUACUGGGCGUAAAGGGAGCGUAGGCGGACUUUUAAGUGAGAUGUGAAAUACCCGGGCUCAACUUGGGUGCUGCAUUUCAAACUGGAAGUCUAGAGUGCAGGAGAGGAGAAUGGAAUUCCUAGUGUAGCGGUGAAAUGCGUAGAGAUUAGGAAGAACACCAGUGGCGAAGGCGGCUUCCUGGUCUGUAACUGACACUGAGGCGCGAAAGCGUGGGGAGCAAACAGGAUUAGAUACCCGUGUA
rnacentral:rRNA from 1 species